rnacentral:lncRNA from 1 species
UUGAAGACCAUGAUUUGAUAAGACCGGUCAAAUUUGGUCUCUCUAAAUCUUUGUUCGAUUCCCGUCACACAGCAAUGAGCAAAGAGGGGCAGCUAUAGUAGCCCAAAUUUGACCGGGCUUAAACAGAAGAAAAUAAAUGGGCAAAUAAAUAUUAAUUUAUUAAGAGUCCAUUUACAAAGCACCAAAAUACAACAGAGCCC